rnacentral:rRNA from 1 species
GACGAACGCUGGCGGCGUGCUUAACACGUGCAAGUCGAACGGGCCUGUCUUCUUUUUUGGGGGGUGGGUUGAGUGGCGAACGGGUGAGUAUCACGUGAGUAACCUGCCCUUCGGUCCUGGAUAACCGCUUGAAAGGGCGGCUAAUACGGGGUGGUCCGGUUGGUCCGCAUGGGCUGGUCGGGAUAGAUUCACUGUUUUUGGUGUUUCGGCGGGGGAUGGGCUCGCGGCCUAUCAGCUUGUUGGUGGGGUGAUGGCCUACCAAGGCGGUGACGGGUAGCCGGCCUGGGGGGGUGGGCGGCCACACUGGGACUGAGAUACGGCCCAGACUCCUGCGGGAGGCAGCAGUGGGGGGUAUUGCACAAUGGGCGGAAGCCUGAUGCAGCGACGUCGCGUGAGGGAUGGAGGCCUUCGGGUUGUGAACCUCUGUUUCCGGUGGUGAAGGCCCUGUCCGUGUGGUGGGGUUGACGGUAGCCGGGGAUGAAGCGCCGGCUAACUACGUG